GAUGAACGCUGGCGGCGUGCCUAAUACAUGCAAGUCGAGCGAACGGACGAGAAGCUUGCUUCUCUGAUGUUAGCGGCGGACGGGUGAGUAACACGUGGAUAACCUACCUAUAAGACUGGGAUAACUUCGGGAAACCGGAGCUAAUACCGGAUAAUAUUUUGAACCGCAUGGUUCAAAAGUGAAAGACGGUCUUGCUGUCACUUAUAGGUGGAUCCGCGCUGCAUUAGCUAGUUGGUAAGGUAACGGCUUACCAAGGCAACGAUGCAUAGCCGACCUGAGAGGGUGAUCGGCCACACUGGAACUGAGACACGGUCCAGACUCCUACGGGAGGCAGCAGCAGGGAAUCUUCCGCAAUGGGCGAAAGCCUGACGGAGCAACGCCGAGUGAGUGAUGAAGGUCUUCGGAUCGUAAAACUCUGUUAUUAGGGAAGAACAUAUGUGUAAGUAACUGUGCACAUCUUGACGGUACCUAAUCAGAAAGCCACGGCUAACUACGUG
rnacentral:rRNA from 1 species